rnacentral:rRNA from 1 species
CAGCCGCCGCGGGAAUACGAAGGGUGCAAGCGUUAAUCGGAAUUACUGGGCGUAAAGCGUGCGUAGGCGGUUUGUUAAGUCUGUUGUGAAAUCCCCGGGCUCAACCUGGGAAUGGCAAUGGAUACUGGCAAGCUAGAGUGUGUCAGAGGAUGGUGGAAUUCCCGGUGUAGCGGUGAAAUGCGUAGAGAUCGGGAGGAACAUCAGUGGCGAAGGCGGCCAUCUUGGACAACACUGACGCUGAGGCACGAAAGCGUGGGGAGCAAACAGGAUUAGAUACCCCAGUAGUCCCUGUCUCUUAUAA